GAUGAACGCUGGCGGCGUGCCUAAUACAUGCAAGUCGAGCGAACGGACGAGAAGCUUGCUUCUCUGAUGUUAGCGGCGGACGGGUGAGUAACACGUGGAUAACCUACCUAUAAGACUGGGAUAACUUCGGGAAACCGGAGCUAAUACCGGAUAAUAUUUUGAACCGCAUGGUUCAAAAGUGAAAGACGGUCUUGCUGUCACUUAUAGAUGGUUCCGCGCUGCAUUAGCUAGUUGGUAAGGUAACGGCUUACCAAGGCAACGAUGCAUAGCCGACCUGAGAGGGUGAUCGGCCACACUGGAACUGAGACACGGUCCGGACUCCUACGGGAGGCAGCAGUAGGGAAUCUUCCGCAAUGGGCGAAAGCCUGACGGAGCAACGCCGCGUGAGUGAUGAAGGUCUUCGGAUCGUAAAACUCUGUUAUUAGGGAAGAACAUAUGUGUAAGUAACUGUGCACAUCUUGACGGUACCUAAUCAGAAAGCCACGGCUAACUACGUG
rnacentral:rRNA from 1 species